AUUGCAGCUGCUAAGUCACGGACUAUUUUUAUUUAGCAGGUUGAUUUACUGAAUCAACCAACCAAAUUUUGGAUGAAGAAAAAGUUUUUUUAUUUGAACCUCGUGAUCACCUUCCAGGCAUAUAGACGGAAUGGCCGGCCAAAUCGCGAACUGGCCAUACUUUGGGUUUAGGUCGUAACAUAUACAAAUAUAGAAUAAAAAAUAUUUUGCCAAUGUAUUAAUGUAUAAUUUAUUUGUCACGAAGACCAUUAUAUGUACAAUUAUUGUUAUACAUCUACACAAUAUUAUACACAGCAAAUUGUAAGGUGUCUAAUAGUGUCUAUAUGAAUUGAUGUCAUUUGUACAAAUUAACUGCUUUUGACCAAUCUUGACGAAACUUUGCAUGAAUAUUACUGACAUUUUGAGGUGGCUAUUAAAAGUAAAAGUAAAGUUCUCCUUACAGACCUUGAAAUCUAUAGGAGGGAUGAUGCUAAGGUCAUCUGUUUCUUUGGCCAACGGUUGAGAAGCCAGUCAUGUGGCCAGUGCAACGACCAUACGCCUUUACUUUCCUCAACUAAAGUUGAGUUUGGUGGACUCAAGGGUGAACUAG